rnacentral:rRNA from 1 species
UACGUAGGGUGCGAGCGUUGUCCGGAAUUACUGGGCGUAAAGAGCUCGUAGGUGGUUUGUCGCGUUGUUCGUGAAAACUCACAACUCAAUUGUGGGCGUGCGGGCGAUACGGGCAGACUGGAGUACUGCAGGGGAGACUGGAAUUCCUGGUGUAGCGGUGGAAUGCGCAGAUAUCAGGAGGAACACCGAUGGCGAAGGCAGCUCGCUGGGACGGUACUGACGCUGAGGCGCGAAAGCGUGGGGAGCAAACAGG